rnacentral:tRNA from 1 species
AGAAAAAAUAGGUGUGUAGUAGGGCUGCUAACUUUAACUACGAGUAGUUCAAUUCUAUUCUUUUUCUU